AACGCACCUUGCGCCCUUUGGCUAUUCCGAAGGGCAUGCCUGUUUGAGUAUCAUGAACAUCUCAACUCUCAUGGUUUGCCAUGAUGAGCUUGGACUUUGGAGGUUUUGCUGGCCUAUGGUCAGCUCCUCUCAAAUGAAUCAGCUUGCCAGUGUUUGGUGGCAUCACAGGUGUGAUAACUAUCUACGCUCGUGAUUGUCCACCAGCUAACCUUCAGCGAUGGAGGUUUGCUGGAGCUCACAGACGUCUCUCCCCAGUGAAGACAGCUUUUUGAACGUUCGAUCUCAAAUCAGGUAGGACUACCCGCUGAACUUAA
rnacentral:misc_RNA from 1 species